GAGGGGAUAGACGGGGGGGGGGGGGGGGGGAAUGAACACAGAGCAGGCGGGCAGGAAGGGGGGGCUGGUGUCACGGAGGUGAGAGGGGAAGGGCGAGGGGAAGGGCCCCACGGAGGUGAGAGGGGAAGGGCGAGGGGAAGGGCGCCAUGGAGGUGAGAGGGGAAGGGCGAGGGGAAGGGCCCCACGGAGGUGAGAGGGGAAGGGCGAGGGGAAGGGCCCCACGGAGGUGAGAGGGGAAGGGCGAGGGGAAGGGCGCCAUGGAGGUGAGAGGGGAAGGGCGAGGGGAAGGGCCCCACGGAGGUGAGAGGGGAAGGGCGAGGGGAAGGGCGCCAUGGAGGUGAGAGGGGAAGGGCGAGGGGAAGGGCCCCACGGAGGUGAGAGGGGAAGGGCGAGGGGAAGGGCCCCACGGAGGUGAGAGGGGAAGGGCGAGGGGAAGGGCGCCAUGGAGGUGAGAGGGGAAGGGCGAGGGGAAGGGCCCCACGGAGGUGAGAGGGGAAGGGCGAGGGGAAGGGCCCCACGGAGGUGAGAGGGGAAGGGCGAGGGGAAGGGCCCCACGGAGGUGAGAGGGGAAGGGCGAGGGGAAGGGCGCCACGGAGGUGAGAGGGGAAGGGCGAGGGGAAGGGCGCCAUGGAGGUGAGAGGGGAAGGGCGCCACGGAGGUGAGAGGGGAAGGGCGAGGGGAAGGGCGCCAUGGAGGUGAGAGGGGAAGGGCGAGGGGAAGGGCGCCAUGGAGGUGAGAGGGGAAGGGCGAGGGGAAGGGCGCCAUGGAGGUGAGAGGGGAAGGGCGAGGGGAAGGGCCCCACGGAGGUGAGAGGGGAAGGGCGAGGGGAAGGGCGCCAUGGAGGUGAGAGGGGAAGGGCGAGGGGAAGGGCGCCAUGGAGGUGAGAGGGGAAGGGCGAGGGGAAGGGCGCCAUGGAGGUGAGAGGGGAAGGGCGAGGGGAAGGGCCCCACCGAGGUAAGAGGGGAAGGGCCUCACGGAGGUGAGAGGGGAAGGGCGCCACGGAGGUGAGAGGGGAAGGGCGCCACGGAGGUGAGAGGGGAAGGGCCCCACGGAGGUGAGAGGGGAAGGGCCUCACGGAGGUGAGAGGGGAAGGGCCUCACGGAGGUGAGAGGGGAAGGGCGCCACGGAGAUGAGGGCGCUGGUGUCAUGGAGGUGGUGGUGAUGGCUGCCGCAGCAGGAGCAGUAAUAGUGACAGCAGUAGUAGUAACUGGCAAUUCCACAGAGCUUUAAAGCUUAUAAAACACCUCACACAUAUUAUCUGGUUUGACCCUCACAACAGCUCUCUGAAGCAGAUGUAACAGGUACUGUAUUUUUAGGAUGAGAAAACAAAGUCUCUGGUAGGCUCACACAGCUUGUCAACAUCAAAGGCAGGACUGGAAACCCCUUAUCUUUGGGGGGAACCCGGAGACCCCGUCCCCUUGGUCCACAGUUCUAUCCAUUAAGCCACAAUGCCUCUUGAAAAAAAAGUGGGGGUGGGCUGGAUAUGCAGUUAAACAGAGCAAAGGGGUGGGUGACGGGGACAACAAGCGGCUGGACGAGAGAGGGAAUGGGUGAGCAGACAGACAGACAGCGCCGACCUGGAGAGUGGGACAGAAGAGUGGCCGGGGAGGAGACAGACACAGGACAGGCGGACACAGGCAGGGGACAAACAGAAGGGACAGAUCAGGAGGCAGGCCAGUCACACAGACAGACCGCGCAAACACAUCGAUGGAGGGGCUGGCAGAAAGCUGAGCAGGACGCAGGUGACCUCCCAGGCGGCUGUGUACGCUCCGUCCCCACAGUGGGGGUGAGCUCAGUAUUUCCAGGUCAGUCCUUUGGGGAAACCUGACCCACCCCUGCUUCUGGGACGGCAAAGAGGCUGGGACAGCCCCAGCUUGCGCUUCUUCACCUUCCCACAUGACCCUUUGGUCCAGGCACUGGGUACGCGUGUCUCGCAGGCUCCCUAGUCCGGGAUCAGGGAGGAAUUCUGGAGACCGCGAAUGGCUCAGGUGCCUUGGCCCAGGGUGCACGUGGCAACUCUGUAUGGCAGAGAGUAAUUAUCCCAGACCUUAUGUUCCCUGUUACAGGUAGGAGGCCUGGGCUACAUGAACUCAUCUGUAAAAUGGGCAGGACAGCAGCACCUAUUUCCCAGGGAUUGUUGUGAGAAUCAAAUGGGGCAAUGUUUGCCAACUUUAAAGAGGGCUAUAAAUCCCAGCUAUUAUGAAAUCAUGCCCACAAACAAGAGGGCAGAGGCGGGUGCUUCCUGGCAGAGAAGAGUGGGUCCCUCGCCCUCUU